rnacentral:rRNA from 1 species
CGCGUAGGCGGGCCGGACGGUCCGGGGUGAAAUCCCCCCGCUCAACGGGGGAACGGCCCCGGAUACCGCCGGCCUCGAGGGGGGUAGGGGCGAGCGGAACGCUGGGUGGAGCGGUGAAAUGCGUUGAUAUCCAGCGGAACUCCGGUGGCGAAGGCGGCUCGCUGGGCCCUCUCUGACGCUGAGGCGCGAAAGCCAGGGGAGCGAACG